CACCUUUCACUGUGUCUGGGAACAGCUUGGGAGUGGAUUCCUUCAGAGGCUAGGGAAUCUUAUUCCAGAAGGGGGCUGCACCAAGACAUCCCACUACACACGCUCUUGGAGGGAGAGAACAGAGGCUCUUGUUCUGGAGACAGGAAUCAUGAAGCUGUACAAGGAGAAGAGAAGACAAUAUAGAAAUGUCUUGGAAAAAUUCUCUGUGUAGAAGAAACAGAUCCAGUCCUAAGUCUUUCAGCUGAGGAGUCAGACCCCAGAUCCCUGCGGCCCCUGCAACCCCGUACCCCCUCUUGAUAUGGCCAC